rnacentral:sRNA from 1 species
GGCUGCCGACCUGCCCGGAGACGAACAGGAGGUCGCCGGAGCGGAUCGCGGCU